UACGUAGGGUGCAAGCGUUGUCCGGAAUUAUUGGGCGUAAAGAGCUCGUAGGCGGUUUGUCGCGUCUGCUGUGAAAACUCGGGGCUUAACCCCGGGCCUGCAGUGGGUACGGGCAGACUAGAGUGCGGUAGGGGAGACUGGAAUUCCUGGUGUAGCGGUGAAAUGCGCAGAUAUCAGGAGGAACACCGGUGGCGAAGGCGGCUUCCUGGUCUGCAACUGACGCUGUGGCGCGAAAGCUAGGGGAGCAAACGGG
rnacentral:rRNA from 1 species